rnacentral:rRNA from 1 species
UACGUAGGGUGCGAGCGUUGUCCGGAAUUACUGGGCGUAAAGAGCUCGUAGGCGGUUUGUCGCGUCUGCCGUGAAAAUCCGGGGCUCAACCCCGGACUUGCGGUGGGUACGGGCAGACUAGAGUGUGGUAGGGGAGACUGGAAUUCCUGGUGUAGCGGUGAAAUGCGCAGAUAUCAGGAGGAACACCGAUGGCGAAGGCAGGUCUCUGGGCCACUACUGACGCUGAGAAGCGAAAGCGUGGGGAGCGAACAGG